GAUCGGCACUGGUGAGAUUUCAGUCCUUCAAACCUGACUGUGGGUUGGAGG
rnacentral:tRNA from 1 species